AAACAACUGUCUGAAGCAUUCAGAUUGCCUAUGCUCUGAUUAGACAAUGCAUAGCUACAAAAAGGAACACUGGUAAGGAAAAUGUGAAAACCCUUUGCUGAUGCAAACCUACACAAGUUCAGCAUGACUAAAAUUAGAAAGAAAAAGGAGGAAAUCCGGACUUCAUUAAAAUCAGUGGAUGUUUCUGAGCAGAAUUUCCAUUAAUUAAUUUCAGUGGGGCCAGGAUUUCAUCCCAAAGAAGAAUGUGCUCCUACGCAAGACUGCAUCAAAAAGAAGAUAUUUCUUUCCGAGUCCCUGCGUGAGCCACAGGCACAGCCCAGAUGCAGCUUUGAGAAGGAAAGAAUGAUUGAGGAAGUUCAGCCCACAAAGAUCUGUGAUGCCUACUGCCAUCAGGAAGGUUUUGGUUGGACAGCUUAGUUGGGGGUGCACAUGCCCUGGGUGGCCCUGUGAAUGAAGGUCCUUGACAGAGGAUAACGUGAGUACUCUGCUCUGUGCGUAUCUGUGUUGUACCAGGAUGAUUCUGAAUACAGCU
rnacentral:lncRNA from 1 species